rnacentral:lncRNA from 1 species
CUAUUAAAGGAGACCAGAUAUACUCAAUUAGUGGAUUCUUGAUUCGAGUACAUCAUUCAUAUGACUCCUCAUAGGAAGUGAAGUGGUUUCAUACUUACAGACCAUACUAGAAUGGCGUUGCUUAUAUGGGAGACAACGGUGAGUGCUCAAUCAUUAGAGUGGGAGAUGUACGAAUCAAGAUAUUCAAUGGGUAUAGUAGUAUAAUUUCAGAUGUCAGAUAUAUCCUUACAUUUCAAAAGAGUCUGAUAUAUUUAGAGAUGUUCGAUGAGCAUGAUAUGAAAUUCAUCGGAGAGAAGCGUUAGUUGAAAGUUGUCAAAGGUUGCAUCAUGGUGGUAAAGGAAGAGUCGGUUGGUAAUCUUUAUAGGUUGAUUAGCAAGAGUUUAAUGGGAGAACACUAUAACAAGGAAGAUUUUUAUCGAUAAUUAUUUUGAUAUUUAGCGGUAAUUAUUAUUGCCAUUAGAAUUUUUU